rnacentral:rRNA from 1 species
AGAGUUUGAUCAUGGCUCAGAACGAACGCUGGCGGCGCGCCUAAUACAUGCAAGUCGAGCGAGAAGGUGUAGCAAUACACUUGUAAAGCGGCGAACGGGUGAGGAAUGCAUGGGUAACCUACCCUCGAGUGGGGAAUAACUAGCCGAAAGGUUAGCUAAUACCGCAUACGUUUCCGGGACUUCGGUUCCGGAAAGAAAGCAAUACCGUGGGUAUUGCGCUCAUGGAUGGGCUCAUGUCCUAUCAGCUUGUUGGUGAGGUAACGGCUCACCAAGGCCUCGACGGGUAGCUGGUCUGAGAGGACGAUCAGCCACACUGGCACUGCGACACGGGCCAGACUCCUACGGGAGGCAGCAGUAAGGAAUAUUGCGCAAUGGACGAAAGUCUGACGCAGCGACGCCGCGUGGGGGAUGAAGGUCUUCGGAUUGUAAACCCCUUUCGGGAGGGAAGAUGGAGUGGGUAACCACUUGGACGGUACCUCCAGAAGCAGCCACGGCUAACUUCGUGCCAGCAGCCGCGGUAAUACGAAGGUGGCAAGCGUUGUUCGGAUUCACUGGGCGUACAGGGAGCGUAGGCGGUUGGGUAAGCCCUCCGUGAAAUCUCCGGGCCUAACCCGGAAAGUGCAGAGGGGACUGCUCAGCUAGAGGAUGGGAGAGGAGCGCGGAAUUCCCGGUGUAGCGGUGAAAUGCGUAGAGAUCGGGAGGAAGGCCGGUGGCGAAGGCGGCGCUCUGGAACAUUUCUGACGCUGAGGCUCGAAAGCGUGGGGAGCAAACAGGAUUAGAUACCCCGGUAGUCCAA